rnacentral:lncRNA from 10 species
AGACGCGGAGCCAUGGCCGAGGUGUUGCGGACGCUGGCCGUCUCACAGGUCCUUCCCCAGGUCCAAGAGGCUCUUCUGUGUCCUGAUGACAAGUAGCUGCCUAGCCGUGGUGGCACCUCCUAUCACAUGUUAAGGGACCCCUCCCCAGGGCCACACCUGGCAGAAGGUGGCUUAUGAUGUUCGCAGCUUGAAAGUAGUGUAAACCAAAGAUAAAAUUCUAAGCCCACUCCCCCAGCCAUCGGAAUGGACCCCUCCUCUUGGCCAGGGCACUCCAAAGUUAACCUGAAAAACCGGUUCAGGCUGUGAAGAGAAGGUGGAGUGGACAUGCCUCAUUUAUGUCCUCCUCCCUUUUGGAAUUCAGCAAAGCUGACCAGCAUGAACAUUAACACAGACCUUAAGUCUGAUUAGUGGCAUUUACAAUCUAUACUCUCUGAAGCGUGCUACCUGGAGUCUUCCUUUGCAUGAUAAAACUUUGGUCUCCACAACCCCUUAUCAUAACCUAGACACUCCUUUCUAGUGAUAAUAACUCUUUCAACCAAUUGCCAAUAAAAAAAUUUUGAAUCUACCUAUAACCUGGAACCUCCCCGCUCCACCUUCGAGUUGUCCUACCUUUCUGGACAGAAGCAAUGUGGAUCUUGCAUGUAUUUGAUUGAUGUCUCAUGUCUCCCUAAAAUGUAUACAAUUAGGCUGUGCCCAGAUCACCCUGGGCACAUGUUCUCAGGCCCUCCUGAGGUCUCUGUCUCGGGCCAUUGGUCACUCAGAUUCGGCUCAGAAUAAAUCUCUUCAAAUAUUUUUCAGAGUUUGACUCUUUUUGUCGACAAUAAGCUCAUCAGAUUAAAGCUGUUGGAACUUUAAAUUACUUCGAGCCUUGAAAGAAUGUGAUUCUGACACCCUAGUCAAGCAGCAAGUCGCUGUGAACUUUGCUUCUCCAAUUAUAGAUUAACGCUCUUCCUUUCUUGAUUUGUAAAAUGUUAUGAAAGACUAAAUGGCACCAGAUGUAAGACCCCUUCCCUUUCUUAGUUACUGACCUUUUGUUACGAAUUAACUUCUUUCUUUUCUUGCACCCAACUCAGACCAGAUGGUACAAAAGACCCCAUGCCUAUCAAAUUCCAUAAGACAGUAUGUUAAAUAUACUUUUCCCGAAGGGAACAGGAUAUAACCAAACAAAUUGCUGCAACUCAUAAGCCAAUCUUAUGUGGAAAAUGUAAUCAUGCUAAACCUCCUUGUAUUUUCCCAUUUAAGUGAAGCCCUAAUCCCUCCACCUCAGAGCACUGAGCCCAUUCCUUUAGAGUCUGUGUUUUUUGAGUGGUGGUCGUCAAACUUAGAGUUCGAAUAAACUCUAUAACAUUGGAUUUUGAACCUUUCAAUUAUUUCAGGUGGCAGAAGAAACACACAGACCCCAUCUCUUCCUUUGGAGUUCUGUACUGCUCAUUUCAAAGGGAUUUCAUCCUGCCCUCUGUAACCACCCAAGGGGUUCCUCCUGCUCCCUUUCUAAAUAAAGACCAUGCAUUCCAGUAAAGAAAGAGUUUAAUAGACAUGAGGCCAACCACAUGGUAGAGAGAGUUUGUACUCAAAUCAUCUCAUCAAAG